rnacentral:rRNA from 1 species
GUUAAGCGACUAAGCGUACACGGUGGAUGCCCUGGCAGUCAGAGGCGAUGAAGGACGUGCUAAUCUGCGAUAAGCGUCGGUAAGGUGAUAUGAACCGUUAUAACCGGCGAUUUCCGAAUGGGGAAACCCAGUGUGAUUCGUCACACUAUCAUUAACUGAAUCCAUAGGUUAAUGAGGCGAACCGGGGGAACUGAAACAUCUAAGUACCCCGAGGAAAAGAAAUCAACCGAGAUUCCCCCAGUAGCGGCGAGCGAACGGGGAGGAGCCCAGAGCCUGAAUCAGUGUGUGUGUUAGUGGAAGCGUCUGGAAAGGCGCGCGAUACAGGGUGACAGCCCCGUACACAAAAAUGCACAUGCUGUGAGCUCGAUGAGUAGGGCGGGACACGUGGUAUCCUGUCUGAAUAUGGGGGGACCAUCCUCCAAGGCUAAAUACUCCUGACUGACCGAUAGUGAACCAGUACCGUGAGGGAAAGGCGAAAAGAACCCCGGCGAGGGGAGUGAAAAAGAACCUGAAACCGUGUACGUACAAGCAGUGGGAGCCUCUUAAUGGGGUGACUGCGUACCUUUUGUAUAAUGGGUCAGCGACUUAUAUUCUGUAGCAAGGUUAACCGAAUAGGGGAGCCGAAGGGAAACCGAGUCUUAACUGGGCGUUAAGUUGCAGGGUAUAGACCCGAAACCCGGUGAUCUAGCCAUGGGCAGGUUGAAGGUUGGGUAACACUAACUGGAGGACCGAACCGACUAAUGUUGAAAAAUUAGCGGAUGACUUGUGGCUGGGGGUGAAAGGCCAAUCAAACCGGGAGAUAGCUGGUUCUCCCCGAAAGCUAUUUAGGUAGCGCCUCGUGAAUUCAUCUCCGGGGGUAGAGCACUGUUUCGGCAAGGGGGUCAUCCCGACUUACCAACCCGAUGCAAACUGCGAAUACCGGAGAAUGUUAUCACGGGAGACACACGGCGGGUGCUAACGUCCGUCGUGAAGAGGGAAACAACCCAGACCGCCAGCUAAGGUCCCAAAGUCAUGGUUAAGUGGGAAACGAUGUGGGAAGGCCCAGACAGCCAGGAUGUUGGCUUAGAAGCAGCCAUCAUUUAAAGAAAGCGUAAUAGCUCACUGGUCGAGUCGGCCUGCGCGGAAGAUGUAACGGGGCUAAACCAUGCACCGAAGCUGCGGCAGCGACACUAUGUGUUGUUGGGUAGGGGAGCGUUCUGUAAGCCUGUGAAGGUGGCCUGUGAGGGUUGCUGGAGGUAUCAGAAGUGCGAAUGCUGACAUAAGUAACGAUAAAGCGGGUGAAAAGCCCGCUCGCCGGAAGACCAAGGGUUCCUGUCCAACGUUAAUCGGGGCAGGGUGAGUCGACCCCUAAGGCGAGGCCGAAAGGCGUAGUCGAUGGGAAACAGGUUAAUAUUCCUGUACUUGGUGUUACUGCGAAGGGGGGACGGAGAAGGCUAUGUUGGCCGGGCGACGGUUGUCCCGGUUUAAGCGUGUAGGCUGGUUUUCCAGGCAAAUCCGGAAAACCAAGGCUGAGGCGUGAUGACGAGGCACUACGGUGCUGAAGCGACAAAUGCCCUGCUUCCAGGAAAAGCCUCUAAGCAUCAGGUAACAUCAAAUCGUACCCCAAACCGACACAGGUGGUCAGGUAGAGAAUACCAAGGCGCUUGAGAGAACUCGGGUGAAGGAACUAGGCAAAAUGGUGCCGUAACUUCGGGAGAAGGCACGCUGAUAUGUAGGUGAAGCGACUUGCUCGUGGAGCUGAAAUCAGUCGAAGAUACCAGCUGGCUGCAACUGUUUAUUAAAAACACAGCACUGUGCAAACACGAAAGUGGACGUAUACGGUGUGACGCCUGCCCGGUGCCGGAAGGUUAAUUGAUGGGGUUAGCGGUAACGCGAAGCUCUUGAUCGAAGCCCCGGUAAACGGCGGCCGUAACUAUAACGGUCCUAAGGUAGCGAAAUUCCUUGUCGGGUAAGUUCCGACCUGCACGAAUGGCGUAAUGAUGGCCAGGCUGUCUCCACCCGAGACUCAGUGAAAUUGAACUCGCUGUGAAGAUGCAGUGUACCCGCGGCAAGACGGAAAGACCCCGUGAACCUUUACUAUAGCUUGACACUGAACAUUGAGCCUUGAUGUGUAGGAUAGGUGGGAGGCUUUGAAGUGUGGACGCCAGUCUGCAUGGAGCCGACCUUGAAAUACCACCCUUUAAUGUUUGAUGUUCUAACGUUGGCCCCUAAUCGGGGUUGCGGACAGUGUCUGGUGGGUAGUUUGACUGGGGCGGUCUCCUCCUAAAGAGUAACGGAGGAGCACGAAGGUUGGCUAAUCCUGGUCGGACAUCAGGAGGUUAGUGCAAUGGCAUAAGCCAGCUUGACUGCGAGCGUGACGGCGCGAGCAGGUGCGAAAGCAGGUCAUAGUGAUCCGGUGGUUCUGAAUGGAAGGGCCAUCGCUCAACGGAUAAAAGGUACUCCGGGGAUAACAGGCUGAUACCGCCCAAGAGUUCAUAUCGACGGCGGUGUUUGGCACCUCGAUGUCGGCUCAUCACAUCCUGGGGCUGAAGUAGGUCCCAAGGGUAUGGCUGUUCGCCAUUUAAAGUGGUACGCGAGCUGGGUUUAGAACGUCGUGAGACAGUUCGGUCCCUAUCUGCCGUGGGCGCUGGAGAACUGAGGGGGGCUGCUCCUAGUACGAGAGGACCGGAGUGGACGCAUCACUGGUGUUCGGGUUGUCAUGCCAAUGGCACUGCCCGGUAGCUAAAUGCGGAAGAGAUAAGUGCUGAAAGCAUCUAAGCACGAAACUUGCCCCGAGAUGAGUUCUCCCUGAGACUUAGAGUCUCCUGAAGGAACGUUGAAGACGACGACGUUGAUAGGCCGGGUGUGUAAGCGCAGCGAUGCGUUGAGCUAACCGGUACUAAUGAACCGUGAGGCUUAACCUUACAACGCCGAAG